CUUAUAACUCCCGAAACCCAUUCUCUUCUUACUUCCGAAAAACCACUCUCUUCUUAGUCUCCCUUUUAACUCUAGAAAAAACCCACUAAAUUGGACUACAAAGAGCAGCCCCUGUUUUACUUGUUGAUUUGCCAAUUAAGAAGAGAAUUUUGUGUGAAGUUUGGCUAAUUCAGGCAACUAGGUUCGGGCACUUUGUAACCAGUUUUUAUCUUCCAUUCAAACUACCAAAAAUCACUUGAAAUAGCCUUUGAUUGCCUAGGCAAGAGUCGAUCACUCUUCGGCAACUUAAGGAUUGGUUCAUUGGAUAAUACUUGACGCGUGUUGCUUAAGCUUGUGAAGUGUGUCUAUAAGAGGUCAGGAAAAUAUUCAGGAUCGGCUGCCGGAGGCGUGACAGUGUCGUGUAGCCCGUGUUUACUAGAUGUCUGUUUCCUUACCCUUAGUUAGGAUUGUUAAACGUUUUAAAUUGUUAAACUUUAUGUAUGACUCAGUCACCUUUGACUUGAGCUAUUGUUUGUUUCCGCUAUGAUAUGGACCAUUGAGGUCUUAAUUACGAUGAUAGUAUUGAGUUAUGUUAUGGAGGCUUAAUGCCAUUGGAGUCCUCUUUAGGACAAUUGUUUAUUAUUGUGCAGGCUGACGCUCAUUGUUCUAUAAAAUUACGCCACGUCUGUCUAA